rnacentral:lncRNA from 1 species
GCCCACGGGAAGUGACGCACGCUGCCACGAGGUCAGCGUCCUCCGCACGAGCGCGGCCCUCGCUACAAAGGACUCGCCCCUCUGCCGCCGACUCUCUCGAAUCUGUCUCAUCUCUCUUGACUCGGCUGCCCUGGUCCUUAAUCGCUGCGCCCCAGCUCCCUCGCGCUGGAGCCUAGACCUGGCCCGGGCUCGCGUAGUGCGGCCUGCGCGUCGCCCGGACUCGACCUCCCCCCCGGGGUGACGCACUUCCGGCGCGACGGAGCCGCGGAGACGGCAGGCCCUCCCGACCCGCAGCGGUGCCGGCGCAGGAAGAAUGGCGAGCUCCUUCCCCCGGCGCCGCGGCGGGGCGGAAAGAAAGCCGACCUGCUGGCUUCCCGACCUUUUGAGCCAAGAGACCUCUUCCACAAGCUUCCUCAGGGCCAGGUUCUCGAGCGACACUCUGAAGGUGGCGUUUUUAAUCAGCAGGUGGGCGCCGAGGAAGCAGGCCUGUGGCGGCCAACGGUAGGAAACCUCCGGCCGCGACCGGCGGGUCCUGGCGGCCGCUGCGCGCCCCUCGAGCCCGGCCUGCCUGGCCUCGUUUCGCACAGAGCUCUCCAGCCCCAAGUUACCGUCCCCGAGCCUCGCUUGAGCCGAGCUUGGCCGUCUGCUCACGCCAGUGCCUGUGCAUUGCUGAGAACCCAGCUCCAGCCUGGGGACCUGGACCAAGGCCUGCUGUAGCACAUGUUUUGGCCACCACAGGCCCAAAGCAACAGGCCCAAAUGGCUGUGGAUGGAAACCUCCAAGAUGAGAUUGGAUCCAACACAUGGAGAACACCUUACCAGACCAUGUCCGCACCACAGCACCAGGUGAAACUGGCAGGGUCUUCGGGAGGUGGGGCCUGGCAGUAGGUCUUCAGGUCAUUUGGGAGCAGGCCUUUGAAGAUCACAAGAGCCCUUUCCUUUUUGCUUCUUGGCCACGAGAUGACUGGUUUUCUCUACAUGAGCUUCUGCCAUGACCUGCUGCCAUAAGCCCAAAACAUUGAGGACAACAGACCAUGGACUGAAACUUCCCAAACC